GCAUGUGGAAGACCAAGACCUGCAGCUGCAUUUGUGUUUAUCUUCAAGCUAAGUUAGCCCGGAUAUCUCAGAAACAGUACGUGCCUACAUACUCCUGGAGCUCCUGCGCAAACCUGUACAAUCCAUAGUUUUGGCUCUCUCCGGUUAUACGACUCUGAGCAUCAUCACUUUUGGAGGAACAACCAGCCUCAUAAGGGAUUCCAGAUGUUAUUUCUGCCACUUUUGAACCCCAGUGGGUAGGAAAAAAUGUCAGAACACGGAGCAGACUCCCUUGUGGGACUUCCCCACCCAUCGUUUAAAUCCAACGCAAUAUAGCCAAGUCAUUCUUACUGACUCAUAAGAUGAACAUGUUUCAAGGGGCAAAGCUUUCCAAUGCAAUUUUCAAAUAAUAGUCUUAAACAGGUAUGCAGGGGAAAGAGCUCUGGAGAAGGAGCAUGCUGAACUGAUGUCUGUUGAAUACUCACUCUGGACAGACAGCUACAGCACCAUGAUCAGGGCCGUGGGAGUUUAGGGUGAGUCUGUGCAUUCCUUUGUGAGUAUAAUUACCUCUCAUCACCUGGUUUCCACUCAGUGUCUUUCCCAUUUCUGUCAAUGUUGCCUACACUGAGUCAU
rnacentral:lncRNA from 1 species